ACUUUCAAGGCAGGGUUAGAUUCCCUACCGGCGGUAUAGUCCGCAAGCCACAUGGUUGAACCGGUGUGAUUCCGGUACCGACGGUAUAGUCCGGAUGAGAGAAAGG
rnacentral:ncRNA from 1 species